UGUGUUGAAGAAGCAGCACAGCGCUCUUCCACUAGGCCGCUUAUGGUUCGACUAGGCAUAUCGAGAUUGUCUAACGCUGAAAAUUGCAACAUAAAGAGCCUGUAUAACAUUUCCAACAAAAUGGAAGAUUACAGGACUUUUCAAAACUGGAUUUUCGGUCGAAACAGGACAUAUUACAGAGAGGAAGACCAGCUCCGCAGCUAAAGGAUUUGCUUCAGACGAGUAGGAAAAAGAAGGCCUUGGUAUCAUGGAGGGGUACCAGCUACUGUGGUCCGAUGGAAAGACGGACAACUGGACAGGGCAAGAUGGCAAGGGAACCUCGGCCCAGGAGCAAGAUGAGGAGGACGGGGUGGACACAAUAGACUCUAUUUGCGGUCCACAGUACUAUGGGUGCUAAGUGUCAUUUGACAUACUCCUGCUAUUAAACAACCUUGCAGCAUCAGG